rnacentral:rRNA from 1 species
AUUGAACGCUGGCGGCAGGCCUAACACAUGCAAGUCGAGCGGAUGAAGGGAGCUUGCUCCUGGAUUCAGCGGCGGACGGGUGAGUAAUGCCUAGGAAUCUGCCUGGUAGUGGGGGAUAACGUCCGGAAACGGGCGCUAAUACCGCAUACGUCCUGAGGGAGAAAGUGGGGGAUCUUCGGACCUCACGCUAUCAGAUGAGCCUAGGUCGGAUUAGCUAGUUGGUGGGGUAAAGGCCUACCAAGGCGACGAUCCGUAACUGGUCUGAGAGGAUGAUCAGUCACACUGGAACUGAGACACGGUCCAGACUCCUACGGGAGGCAGCAGUGGGGAAUAUUGGACGAUGGGCGAAAGCCUGAUCCAGCCAUGCCGCGUGUGUGAAGAAGGUCUUCGGAUUGUAAAGCACUUUAAGUUGGGAGGAAGGGCAGUAAGUUAAUACCUUGCUGUUUUGACGCUACCAACAGAAUAAGCACCGGCUAACUUCGUG